UGGUUCAUUUCGCCUCUUAGAAACAUAUCAUCAUCUAAUUAUUCCAAUAAAAACAAACACUCGAAUAAUUAUUUCAUCCGCAGAUGUUCACUCCUGAACUGUACCUUCUUUAGGAAUUAAAGUAGAUGCUAUCCCAGGCCGACUAAAUCAACUAAAUCUUUAUUCUAAUCGGCCUGGAUUAUAUUAUGGCCAAUGUUGUGAAAUUUGUAA